UGUGUGUGUGAGUGUGUGUGUGUCUGCGUGUGUGUUUAUGAGAGAGCGCAUUCAGAGCUUUUCUGUUACCGCUUCCUGUUCUUUGAAAUGAAUGAGCCAUAAUCCUCCUGAUAGCUAAGAGCUAAAAUAAACACACACACACGCACGCACACUCACACACACU